UACAGAGGGUGCAAGCGUUGUUCGGAAUUACUGGGCGUAAAGCGCGUGUAGGCGGUUUAAUAAGUCAGAUGUGAAAUCCCUCAGCUUAACUGAGGAACUGCAUCUGAUACUGUUAAACUUGAGUAUCGGAGGGGAUGGCGGAAUUCCUGGUGUAGAGGUGAAAUUCGUAGAUAUCAGGAGGAACACCUGUGGCGAAGGCGGCCAUCUGGAAGAUUACUGACGCUGAGACGCGAAAGCGUGGGGAGCAAACAGG
rnacentral:rRNA from 1 species